rnacentral:rRNA from 1 species
CCUACGGGUUGCAGCAGUGGGGAAUAUUGCACAAUGGGCGCAAGCCUGAUGCAGCCAUGCCGCGUGUAUGAAGAAGGCCCUAGGGUUGUAAAGUACUUUCAGUCGGGAGGAAGGCGUUGAUGCUAAUAUCAUCAGCGAUUGACGUUACCGACAGAAGAAGCACCGGCUAACUCCGUGCCAGCAGCCGCGGUAAUACGGAGGGUGCAAGCGUUAAUCGGAAUUACUGGGCGUAAAGCGCACGCAGGCGGUUGAUUAAGUUAGAUGUGAAAUCCCCGGGCUUAACCUGGGAAUGGCAUCUAAGACUGGUCAGCUAGAGUCUUGUAGAGGGGGGUAGAAUUUCAGGUGUAGCGGUGAAAUGCGUAGAGAUCUGAAGGAAUACCAGUGGCGAAGGCGGCCCCCUGGACAAAGACUGACGCUCAGAUGCGAAAGCGUGGGGAGCAAACAGGAUUAGAUACCCGUGUAGUC